GCGUUUGACCUCAAAUCAGGUAGGAUUACCCGCUGAACUUAAGCAUAUCAAUAA
rnacentral:rRNA from 1 species